rnacentral:lncRNA from 1 species
ACAUUGACCUCUGGACUCCAUGUGCACAUACGAACAUAAACAUGUCGUAUACCCAUAUAUGCAUGCAAACAAGUACGUACACACAGAGAAAAAAAUUUUCAAGGCCAUUCUUGGAUACGUGAGAUCCCAAAAUGAUCAGUGAGAAAUGCAUUCCUGAUGGAAUGCCAUCCCUCUCUGCCAUCUCCAUAACUCUUCUCUUGCUCGUUUGUUUUUAGUACAGGGCCUCAGUAUACAGAACUGCUGGAGCCAAGUGUGGUUCAACUCACCUGGAAUCUGAGCACUCAGGAGUCUGAGGCAAGAUUGCCAAGAGUUCAAGGCCACCCUCAGCUACAUGGGUCUCAAAUACUCAAGAGUUCACUCUGCGGCUGAGGAUGACCUCAAGCCUCUGAUCUUCCUGCUGGGAUCACUGAGAGCUGGGAUUACAGCAUUGGGUAAUGUGCUCGGUUCUGUUCGAUGCUGGGGAUAAACCCAGGGCCGCAUGCAUGCUAAGUCAGCACUCUCCUAACUGAGCCAUGUUCCCAGUCCCUAACAACUUCCUUUUAGUACUGAAAUUUCC